rnacentral:sRNA from 12 species
UUUUAUACUUCUUUCUUUUUGUAUUUACUGUCCCAGCUGCGAAAGUGGCUUGGAACUACACGCUCUUUCACGAAGACAACCAAAGUUGUCAUAAAAUACAGCUUCAACUUGAUGCACAAAUGUGAUGGUCUUUACAUUUCUUGCACUGAAGGGGCAGUGAAUUCGUAAGUGGAAGGGCUACUCAGG